ensembl:lncRNA
CACCCCACUCCCCAUACAUGUAUGCACCCCCUCCUUCCUUCCUCUCUAGCCUCAGCUCCAACUCUAGAUCCUGUAACAUUUCGUGUUUGCUACCCGCACAGGCUGCGACCUCCGCGUCCUUCCUUCGAAGCUCAGGUGGCUUUCUCAGUCUUAGUAUCUUAACCUUAGAGCCCCGGCCUGGGCCCCCUAACCCAGCAUCCAACAGCGAUGAAGGGGUUACUGGCGCUGAAUGUAUUGGGCUGGCUCGGAGAUGGGCACUUCGCAGGCCGGAGUAACCUGCGUUGGAAGCUCCUGAAUUAAACCUUUUUGUCCCCAGACAGUGCUAUUGUGGGCUUUAUCUGUGUACUCAAUGAGGAAGGAGUUCAGAGGCAAACAAUAGCUGUGUGGUUCUGAUCCCAGGAGCAGAGCAAGGACUCAGUGUUAGCCUCCAGCAUAGGCUGAAGCCUGCAGUGGAAUAACCAGAGCAGAAAUCUCAGACCAAAGGGGAGCCUGCAGUUCAAUUUUUCUAUGGAGUCUAUUUUUUCUUUUCUAUAGAGACUAUUGCUGGCUAAGGACAGCAAUAGUCUGAAAAUUCUAAGCAGGGAUGAGCUUAAAAAUGCAAACAUGAGUCACAAACUUGCAAAGCUCAGACCAGGAGGUCAAUAAGCAUACUUUACACUUUGAGAGCACCAAAAGCCUUCAGGCACCCAGCAGAGCUGCAAAAGUAGCGAAAGGAUGUAAGAGCACAGAAACUCAGCCCAAAUAUUCCCCUCAGAAGUACUCACAAGAAGCAGGCAGGAAGAAUGACCAAAUGAAAAAAGAAUCCCGCCAUAAAGAGCUUUUAUGGUAACAGGGAAGCUCAAGACACGAACUCAGAUGAGAAUAACUCAGAAACAUCUACAAGCGAUGCUUCAAAGGAAAAAAUGCAGCUUGAACACGAGUUCAAUCAGGAUGUCUAGAAGAGCUAAAGCAAAUUUUUUUUAAAGAGUUACAAAAUUAUUUUUAAAACCAAAUGAAAACAAUAGAGGGGGGAAAUGGGAAAAUAAUAAGAGCUAUGGAAGUAAGAUAUGGAGAGAAUUAAUUGCUUGGAACAAGAUGAACAUAAUCUUACCCAAGAAAAUAACACCCUGAAAAUUAGAAUUGACCAAAUAGAAUCUAAUGACUCCAUUAUUGUUGUUUAGUCGUUUUCAGUUGUGUCUGACUCUUUGUGACCUAAUUUGGAGUUUUCUUGACAAAGAUGCUUGAGCAGUUUGCAUUUUCCUUCUCCAGCUCAUUUUACAGAUGAGGAAACUGAGGCAAACAGAGUAAAAUGACUUGCCCAGGGUCUCACAGAUAGUAAGUAUCUAAGGCCAGAUUUGAAGUCAGGAAGAUAAAUCUUCCUGAUCCCAGGCCUGGCACUUUCAAUUGUACAUCUAGUUCCCUAAUGUCUCCAUUAGACAUCAAAAAACAUGUUUCAAAAUCAAAAGGCUGGAAAAAAAUAGAAAGAAAUGUGAAGUAUCUCAUAGCAAAAACAACUGACCCGGAAAACUGAUUGAUGGGAGAUAAUUUAAGAGUCACUGGACUACCUGAAAGCCAUGACCCCAAAAAUAGCCUAUACAUCACAUUUCAAAAAACAAAAAACAAAGCAAAAGAAAACUGGCCAAAUUUCUUAGCACCAGAUUGCAAAGAAUCUACUGGUCAUCAUGUGAAAGAAAAUCCCAAAUGAAAACUCCCAAGAAUGUUAUAGCCAAAAUCCAGACUUCCUAACUCAAAUAAAAAAUGCUGCAAAUAGCCA